GUGGCCUGGAGCUCUCAUCCUGUGCCUGGCAUUGCAGGAACCCCACGAGAUGACUUAGGACUGGAGCUGUCCUUUGGAGAUGAUAAAAGGCAGAGAGAAGCAAACAUACAACAGAAGUAAGAGUUUCUUUGGCUUAUAGUACCAGAGGGAUGAGCAUUCACUAUGAAGGGGAAGAGGGCAUGGCAGCAGAGGUGGCUGGACCAGAAAGCCAAGUGCUCACAUCUUUAACCAGGCACAGGAAACGGAGAGAACCUGGAAUCGUAACCUGGCUUUAUACGCUCAUUGCCCACCCUCAGUGACUUGCUUCUUCGGGCAUGACUACGACUCCUGGAGGUUCCAUGGCCAUCCUCCAACAGUGCCAGGAACUGGGGAACAAGUGUUCAAAUACUUGGAAUCUAUGGGAGCAUUUUCAUUCAAACUUCCACAGUUAUAUGACUGUCCUCAAUGCAAAACCACAGUGAGUCUCAAUAACUUAAUGAGUCAAAAAAGCAAAGUUCAGAAGACUAUUCAUCUGAGUUCCUUUUAUAAAGUUCAAAAGCCAAACAAAACUAAGUAAUGUGUUGAUUUGCUCUACAUGUAUGUGUGCUCACUCUUUUAUAUAGACAAAGAGCAAAGAGUACAUAAAAUAUUAUUUAAAAUUAAAAUUAAGUACUUAAAAAGCAAAAUAAUGUCAAGCCUAAAAGUUCAUGUAGAAAUCAUCUCUAAGAGAUAGACAAAGAGGUACAAUGAAGACUAAAUGUAGAAGAAUUAAUAUAAUUAAUUUUUCUUGCUUGGAAGAGAGUUGGAGAAUCUACAUUAUAGUACUAGUUGUACCCACAUAAAUGAUCGAAUUACUGAAAAGACCCUUGUACAGACCGGUUGCAUCCAUAUGCCAUAAAUUUGGUCUAAGGAUAUAAAACUUCAGUAGAGAAGAGAACAGCUCAAGAGAUCUAUCACACC